UAUCUCUGUAGAGUCUGCAUAUCAAUAAGCGGAGGAAAAGAAACUAACUAGGAUUCCCUCAGUAACGGCGAGUGAAGCGGGAAGAGCUCAAAUUUGAAAUCUUCAAGGUUCUACCUUGACGAAUUGUAGUUUAAAGAAGUGUUUUCUGUUGGAGUUUUGGUAAAAGUUCUUUGGAAUAGGACAUCAUAGAGGGUGAGAAUCCCGUAUUUGACCAUUAUUUCCAGCUUUGUGAUACACUUUCAAAGAGUCGGAUUGUUUGGGAAUGCAGUCCAAAAUGGGUGGUAAAUUUCAUCUAAAGCUAAAUACUGGCGAGAGACCGAUAUCGAACAAGUACCGCUGAGGGAAAGAUGAAAAGAACUUUGAAAAGAGAGUUAAACAGUACGUGAAAUUGUCAAAAGGGAAGCGUUUGACACCAGUGUUGUUUUCUCGAAAAUCAAUUAAAAAAGGCAGGAUUUUGUGUUGUAUUGACUUUAUCAGCUUUCUGCACUCUUUUCUUGUCUUUUUUAAUGCACUUUUCGUUUAACAAGUCAACAUCAAUUUCUUUUGUUGUAAAAGGGUCAUUGGAAGGUGGCUUUCUUUUCGGAGAAAGUGUUUAUAGCCUUUGGCCUCUGCAAUCGGAGAGAUUGAGGAUCUGCAGCGUAGAUCCUUCGGGGUUAGAUACAUUUGUGCUAAGUUAUAGCCUUUCAUAGACAACUUGUUGACUAUGAUCAGUCAUGUAGCUUACUCGCCUAUGCUACUUUACCUACGCUUAGGAUGUUGACGAUCAGCUGAGCGCG
rnacentral:rRNA from 1 species